AGUGAACGCUGGCGGUAGGCCUAACACAUGCAAGUCGAACGGCAGCACAGUAAGAGCUUGCUCUUACGGGUGGCGAGUGGCGGACGGGUGAGGAAUACAUCGGAAUCUACUUUUUCGUGGGGGAUAACGUCGGGAAACUUACGCUAAUACCGCAUACGACCUACGGGUGAAAGCAGGGGAUCUUCGGACCUUGCGCGAUUGAAUGAGCCGAUGUCGGAUUAGCUAGAUGGCGGGGUAAAGGCGCACCAAGGCGACGAUCCGUAGCUGGUCUGAGGGGAUGAUCAGCCACACUGGAACUGAGACACGGUCCAGACUCCUACGGUAGGCAGCAGUGGGGAAUAUUGGACAAUGGGCGCAAGCCUGAUCCAGCCAUACCGCGUGGGUGAAGAAGGCCUUCGGGUUGUAAAGCCCUUUUGUUGGGAAAGAAAAGCAGCAGGUUAAUACCCCGCUGUUCUGACGGUACCCAAAGAAUAAGCACCGGCUAACUUCGUG
rnacentral:rRNA from 1 species